AGGGCUGGAGCCAGCAGGUGGGGGCAAGGUAGACAUGAAGCAGUUCUGCUCUAGGGCAGGCGAGCUUGCCACGUGCUCUGGUUCCCUAUCUCAAAACCGUGCCUGUCGCCGCCUGCUACCCACCUCUUCAUUCCUCAUCAUCCCUGCCCAGCAGCCACCUGCUUUCCCAGCUCCACUUCCCCACCUCCCAUCCCUCCCCAGCCGCUGCCCCCACCGGCUGCUCUCGCCAUCCCUGAAGCUGGCUCACCGAGGUCGCUUUCAUCUCCUUGUCACAUCCAGUCCAAGAAACAGGUGAAGGAACCAGGGCUCAAGGCAAUAAGGGCCUCCUCAAGAUGCCUCAGCAGCAGGGAUGCUCUGGACAAAAACCCCAGUUUGCUGCUUUGCCCUCAACUCCAGCCCGCUGUCUGGCUGCCGCGCCUCUCUGGCCCCUCCUCAGCUUCCUUGGUCAACAGGAGUCCUGCUGUGUCUGACCCCAGAGCGCACCUGUAACUGCUUUCCACCGAGAGGUCACACUCGUGCCUGACACUUGACGUGUCUGCAUCUGAGCUCGGCUGUCCCUUAACGUGCUGUGUACCUGGAGGCAAGUGAUUGAACGUCUGAACCGUGGUUAUUAUCAACUUGCCCAGAGCCUGCCCUCCUCCUGUGCUAACUAGUUCAAUAAACAGCCCUGCCACCUUCCCGUCAGCAGGGGAUGCACAAGACUCUUCCGUCUCCCAUGUUCAUCGAGACGUGGUGACUUUGUGCUCUAAAAAGCACAGCUCUUCGAGCUGGUGGUUAC